CAUUGUCGUCUUCAACCCAGUUCAAAUUUCCUUGCAUUGUUGAAUAUUUGAGCUUUUGCUCUGGUUUUGGUUAAUGAGAAUUGACUCUCACUAACUCUCAGAUUGAGAUGUUUAGCUGGGAUAUUUCUUAAUAUGAAUUUGAUACUGCAUCACUUUGGCUACUGGUGCUGCUCCGUUUCGGUGUGUUCCAAAUCCGUUUGAAAUAGGAGUGUGCUUCUGACCUUCUACAUAAUAAAGAGGCGGUUGGAGAAGCUUCCAAUUUUAGAAUAAUUGAAUUUAGGAUGACUCUUUGGUUUUAGAAAUUAUUUCCUAUGAGAAUUUUGAUUUCUGAAGCUGAGUUCGUUAAGGUUGAUCCCACUGGUCGGUGAAAAACGUGUUAUGGCAACGUCAUUACCCUCUUACCAUGAUUGUUGUAUAAGUGUUCGACGAAAUGACACAGUAACAAAACUGCUUGUACUAGAAGUUAGAACUGAGCUAAAAAUUGGUUUCUUUUCUUUUCAGUUUCCGUUGCUUUCUUAAAAUUAUUUAUGAUUUUUCUUUGCCACUUGGAUUAUUUUUUGGAUUAUGCUUUGAUAAGUUGACACUACAAUGCAAAAAAGUGAGUGUUAUUAUUUUGUUUCAUCUGGAUUUAAGUGUCAUCCUUAUAGCUAAUUGGACAAACUCCCACCUGGAUGCAUUGUGCUUCGAUCUUAAAUCCAGAUUGUUGUGCUAAAAUUACUCAAUAUAUGUUGAUUUUUUAUGCUUAUGAUUAUUUUGAUGUUGGGAUUAAUGAGACCUUUUCAGCUCCAGUCGGAGUUUCAAAUUUUCCGCAUAGUUGUUGUAAUUAUGUCUAAUCUCCUUGAGAAGGGAAUGCUCCCUUGGUCAAGAUUAAAGAGAUUUAAUCUACUUGCUCAAAUCCCUAAUAAGCCACUGUCGGUUUUUCAUUUUUCUUUUAGAUCAUUUUAGCUGAUUCAAUCUAUCUUUCUAAAUUGAAAUUGAAAUUGAAAUUGAAAGAGUUGUUAAGCGUUAUUAAUGAUCAUCCUUUUCCUGAUCAACCACUUCAGUCUACCCUUCUCCAGCAUGUCCCACCACCUGACCUUUCCACCAUCUUUGAGGGGAAUGUUCUGGGUUGCCUCUUUGCAGCCAUUCCAAUGGUCUAAGUUUAGAUGCUUUUGGAAAUAGACUGCUUAUUCUCACAAGGAUGUGGUAUUUUGAUAAAACUUGGGAGUUGAUAGCGAGAAUCAGAAGCACACAUCCUUCAUUGCUGACUCUUAAAUCAAUUACUAUUAUCUUGUUAAAGAUUUCAAAUUGUCAAUCUUAUGAAGCUAUACGGGAAACAUUUGAAGAGAUGUAGAAUGAUAGAUUUGUUGGAUCAAUGAGUUUAAUUACUUGUUCAGGCAUUUUGAACACAGAGGCAGAUGAAGGGGACACAACCUGUGUUCCAAAAGAUGCAUUUUUUAUUUUCUCUGGAUAUAAAGACCAUGAAUGUCUUUCUUGCUUUUAGUGUUCAAUGAAUCAGGAGAUAUUACUGCAAUAUAACUUUUCUACCAAGAGAUGGUUAGAAGAAGUUUUAAGCCUUGUAACUUAUAAGUUGUAACAUCAGAAUUGAUGCUUACUGUAAAUUGGCGAUGUUUUGAGACUUUUGAAGAAAUAAAACAAGCAAAUAUGAAAGUGUAGGCAUAUCGGUUUGAGCCAAAUACUUUUCUUCACAAAAUUGGUUCUGUCCAUUUGUUGUUUAUUUUGUUAUGAGCUCUUUGCAUUAUAGAUUGACGGCUUGAAGUGUAGGGAUUCAAAAGUAGUUUAUGUAUUGGUUCAGCUGUGUCGCUUUGAAUUCUGUAACUAAGAGAAUAAGCUGCUUAAUAUGUUUUCUGCAUCUAUACAGUUUAUGCAAAAUAAAUUAGGCUUGUUUUGAUAACUGAUCAAUUCGUUUUUUAACUCAAUUCUAUAUUUUUUAUUAGUAUUCUUUCUCCUUAUGUAUCUAAUAGCUAUUGUUUUCUUUACCUUGUUUUUCUGGGACUGAGUAAUAUUAUUUGAGUGUUUCUCUCCAUUUUCUGGAAUUGGUAUGCUUCUUUUUGAUUAAAUGUUGUUUAAUGAAUUUUGUUAGAAAGGAGAUUAUACCAUUUGAAAAUUGGAUCCUUGUGAUAGUAAUUAUGUUACUCUCUUUUUGAGGACUAUGGUAGUUUCUGUAGCGAUUAUACAGAAUUUUAUGAAUCCAAAUUAGGUUUUUGAAGUCUAUUAGCAGUUUGUGAUGUUCAAAUAAGUUCUUAGGAAAGUUUCACUUGGAUUUUCUUAUUUACUUAUUUCAGUUCCAGGUGUUUUUGAAACAGAUUUGUUGGAUACCUGGUUGAUGGAGGUUGCGAAGUGGGAAAGUUUUUUGGGAGAAGAGAGCGGUUAUAAGAGCCAUGGGCAACAUGCCAAUUAUGAUGAUGAGCAAUAUUUCUAUGCUUCUGACUUGGUGCCCAAAUUGCAACACAUGUAGGGCUUUAUAAAACAAAGGACAAAAAAGAGUCUAAAUUGUUGCUUGGCUAUGUUUUUUCCUGAGCGCAUAAGAAUGCUCUGAACAUGAAAUGGUAAAUUUGCAUACAGUUUGUAUUGCAUUUUGUCCUGCUACAGAGAUGUAAGCUUUUUCAUGUUUAUUAUUUUAUUUCACCUACACUAUGCUGGUGACUUGAUGAUCACUUGUAGAGCUGACCUUAAAAAUACAAGUGCGGUUGCUAGAUGUUUGGAAGUC